CCACAGUGACUCUUUCCUUGCUUAAGAUCAACCCUCAAAAUCAAGAUCAAGAAAACUCCGGACUUCAGAGCACCAUUUAUAUUUCAGCAUAAAUAGAUACAUUCAGGAGCGCUGGUUACUGAUGGAGACUCUCUCUGUAUUUGGGAGCUAAAGCUGUCUACUUCCUGUUUCUGAACUUAGGAGGUUUCAGAAUGGAGACCAACAGGCUGUCCAGAAUUCUUCUCAAUGGGACAGGUGGGCAGGUGUGGUUUCCUGAGGAGCUGACUCUGAGUGAAUCUCUAGGGGACAGCACAUUCCAGGCAGAGAUGGGC